GGGCUGGACCAGGAACCCACGCUGGGAGGCCACUUCUGGGGCACAGGACCCGGCGCUGGAGCAGGGGACCCUGGCACUCACUGGCCAGAAGCGCUUUCUGAGCAGCGAUGCAGUGUGGCCCGAGGAAUAAGUGCUCCUCAAUGUCAUGGGUGGGGCCCCAGCCCAGUCCCAGUCCCAGUCCCACCCCCUUCCUCCAGGAGUCAGCGUGGCGAGGGCGGAAAAAGAAGCAAGAAAUCCAUUUCCCGCGGGAGACGUGCGCCUCCCGUGUGACCAAAAGCCAGCAUAUGUUGUGGAAGGAAACAGACCAAAAUUAACUGGAGUGCUCUCUGUGGAUCGUGGCAACUCUUUCCUGAGGGAGCAGUGGGACGUGGGGACCUGGGGCCUGCGUGACGGAGAAACUGGCUCUGGAGACUGGUCGCGGACGCGAAGGCUUCUUCAGAAAGCUGUCAGAAGGAUUCAGUGAGAGCUCCUCGCCGCCCGCCCCACCUCCUGCCCCGUCAGCAGACAUCAGAAUUGCUGUUCGUCAUGGCAGAUAUUCCCACUAAGAGGACAGACAAACUGAGGGUCUGAGAGCGUCCGGACAGCCUGUCCAUGGGAGAAGGUAUAGUUCUUCCCCUCAGAGCACUCCUUGGGCCAUCUCAAGCGUAGCAGACCACAGGCACCCGCCGUGAUCCCAACUCAGGUAGUCGAGACCCAAACAAACGCCCCGAGGGGCCAGGGGACCUUCUUUCUUUGGCAUUUCUCCCUCUCCGCCCCAGGCCUGUAUGAACCAGAGAUGACUGAACAGUCCCCUGCAAAUAUGUACAAAGGAGAUGGGCCGGG